rnacentral:rRNA from 1 species
AUGAACGCUGGCGGCGUGGAUUAGGCAUGCAAGUCGCACGAGAAACCCCGCAAGGGGGAGUACAGUGGCGUAAGGGUGAGUAAUGCAUCGGAACGUACCCAGUCGUGGGGGAUAACUACGCGAAAGCGUAGCUAAUACCGCAUACGCCCUGAGGGGGAAAGCGGGGGACCUUCGGGCCUCGCGCGAUUGGAGCGGCUGAUGUCGGAUUAGCUAGUUGGUGGGGUAAAGGCCUACCAAGGCGACGAUCCGUAGCUGGUCUGAGAGGAUGAUCAGCCACACUGGGACUGAGACACGGCCCAGACUCCUACGGGAGGCAGCAGUGGGGAAUUUUGGACAAUGGGCGCAAGCCUGAUCCAGCCAUGCCGCGUGAGUGAAGAAGGCCUUCGGGUUGUAAAGCUCUUUCAGACGGAAAGAAAUCGGGCGCGUGAAUAGCGUGCCUGGAUGACGGUACUGUCAGAAGAAGCACCGGCUAACUACGU